rnacentral:rRNA from 1 species
CACGCUGUAAACGAUGAUAACUCGUUGUCGGCGAUACACAGUCGGUGACUAAGGGAAACCGAUAAGUUAUCCACCUGGGGAGUACGAUCGCAAGGUUGAAACUCAAAGGAAUUGACGGGGGCCCGCACAAGCGGAGGAGCAUGUGGUUUAAUUCGAUGAUACGCGAGGAACCUUACCUAGACUUGAACGUAUAAGUGAUUAUUUAGAAAUAGAUAAGCUAGCAAUAGACUUUUACGAGGUGC